UCACCUACCAUUCUCUGUUUCAGAAAAUGUAUCAUUUCCCUAUUUCAAAAAAUACCCCAACUCCAACACAUGAGGAUGGCUCCACUUUUUCUACUACAGAGGUGGAUGUAUAACUCAGAUGGAGAAAGCAAGCCGUCAGUGUAGGAGUGUGGGUGGCCGGUGAAACUAGAGAAUAAUCCCUGGCCAACAGCUUCAGAGAAACGGCUACCACAGUCCUACAGCCACAUGGAACUGAAUUUUGCCAGCAACAGUGAAUGAACUUGGAAGUGAAUACGUCCCCAGAGCCUCAAGAAAAGACUACAGCCCUACAGGUGUAAAGAAGUCUGGCUGCAAAGGGACCCCGAGACUUGAGGAA